rnacentral:misc_RNA from 1 species
UCUCCCGUGAGGGAGCAGUCUCGCCUGGUCAUAUAGACAACAGGCAACGGGGGUUGCGUUCGUUACCCCACUGAAGGGAACAGUUCAAACCACGAACUGACGACGACCAUGCAUCACCUGUGCAACACCCUCGAAGGCUCCCUUCCUUUCGGAUGGGAUGCAGUUGCAUUUCUAACCUUGGUAAGGUUCUUCGUUUGUUUACGAAUUGAGCCACAUAAUCCACUGCUUGUGCGAGUCCCCGUCUAUUCCUUUGAGUUUUAAUCUUGCGAUCGUACUACCCAGGCGGCUCGCUUACCGCGUUAGCUUAGCCCCACAGAGGGUCGAUACUCCGUAGAGCGAGCGAGCAACGUUGAGGGCCAGGACUAC